UGGAGGUAGUGACAAUAAAUCACAAUGCGGAACAAUGUUUUGCAAUUGGAUUGAGAACAACGUACAAACCUUAUCGAUAAACAAUUGGAGGGCAAGUCUGGUGCCAGCAGCCGCGGUAAUUCCAGCUCCAAUAGCGUAUAUUAACGUUGUUGCAGUUAAAAAGCUCGUAGUUGAAAUGAAGGGUAGUUGUGUAAUGAAUACAUUCGUGUAUUUUGUUAUUCAAGUACCCUCCUUCUAAAUUCGAUAUAUGAGUAUUAAUUUACUUGUAUAUGGUUUUAGACUUUUACUGUGAGAAAAUUAGAGUGUUCAAAGCAGGCAUUUGCUUGAAUAUAUUAGCAUGGAAUAAUCAUGUAUGAUUUUCAUGAUGUAUUUGAUUGGUUUGGUUGAUGAGAAUAAGAUUAAAAGGGACAGUUGGGGGAUUCAUAUCCGUG
rnacentral:rRNA from 1 species